CUCGCCUCAAUUCGCUCAUGCAAAGGGCCUGGAACCCACCGGAGGGGCGUGGCGAACAUUCCCCCGGAAGCUCUGGGUUUCUUUCAGGGACAUCGAGCGAGGCAGGUGUUCCACCCCACUUUCUUGUUUGAGGGGAGAAGGAAACCAAAGCCAGUAGAAAUGGAAUUUAUGGCCUCCGUGCUCUCAGAGGGAGAAAAAAAUUCUCACUCAUCAGCCUAAAGAGAAACCCUGUCUUAUCCCAGAUUACCACCAUGGGAUUUAAAAUUCAGUGAGAAGACUGCUUGGGAAAUACUGUCUCCGAACUGCCGG
rnacentral:lncRNA from 1 species